rfam:Myotis brandtii contig308371, whole genome shotgun sequence.
AGUGGUUCUCAGGUGAUGCACCCGGAACCAGAAAGGAGGGAGUCUGAUUCCGGGGUGCGUCACCCAAGAACCGCC